rnacentral:rRNA from 1 species
GACGAACGCUGGCGGCGUGCUUAACACAUGCAAGUCGAGCGGUAAGGCCCUUUCGGGGGUACACGAGCGGCGAACGGGUGAGUAACACGUGGGUGACCUGCCCUCAGCUCUGGGAUAAGCCCGGGAAACUGGGUCUAAUACUGGAUAUGACUCCAUGACGCAUGUUGUGGGGUGGAAAGCCUUGUGCGGCUGAGGAUGGGCCCGCGGCCUAUCAGCUUGUUGGUGGGGGAUGGCCUACCAAGGCGACGACGGGUAGCCGGCCUGAGAGGGCGGACCGGCCACACUGGGACUGAGACACGGCCCAGACUCCUACGGGAGGCAGCAGUGGGGAAUCUUGCGCAAUGGGCGAAAGCCUGACGCAGCGACGCCGCGUGAGGGAUGACGGCCU